GAUGGCGGGGUGCGGGGCCGAGCCACCGCGGCCUCUCGGGGGAAAGGGGGGUGGUCGCUGGGGAGCCUCCCCCCCCCCCCCCAGUGCCUGCUGUUUUGGCGGGGGGGAGAGAAGCGCGGCCCCCCGCCCCCCCCCCCCGGGGAGGGGGGAAUAAACCGUGUCCUUACCAAAAAAAAAAAAAGGAAAAAAUAGAAAAAAAUAAAUUCUCCUCUUCCAGGCUGGUGAGAAUGUGUUCCCCCUGCUCUUGUCCCGCCUGUCCUGGAGCCCCUGCACCCAAAAAAGUCCCUCCAUCCCAAAAUCUUAGCACAGGAGCGCUCAGCUCAGGGAAGGUGUCCGGGGGUGCCAGGGCUGAAAUCAGCAGAAUCAGUUUUCAGCCCGUUUCAGGGUUAAUAACGUUUUCUCUAUCGCCAGGGUUACACAGGAAUUGAACUUUCUCCACAAUUUAUUUUAAUUAUAACUAAAUACGGCAUUAGGGAGCACCGAAGGAAUCUUAAGGGGAAGGAAGAGGAAGGGAAGAUGCUGAAGCUGGGUCAUUCCCAAGACUUUGGGUCUGCGAGGUCCACUGACUCAUCGGGAGAAAGGGCUGCAGCGCGGACGCCGUGCGCCGGCGGAGCUCCUGCGCACAGCCCUGAGUCGCAGGUCGGCUCUUGCUAAUUUGUCCGAUGGGGAGUAAGGCUGAAAAUAUUUCUAAAACCGUUUGCUUUUUUUUUUUUCCUGGAGGGAGAUAAGAGUAAAUAUGAAUCAUUCUUUUAAAAGUUUCAGAAGCGUUUUGUUCCAGGAAGGAAUAAGUGUAUUUUUUUUACAGUAAGAACCUCACAGGAAACUUCAGGAGGUUUUUAUAAGAGCUUGUAACCUCUUUGAAGCUGGAGACAUUUUUUGUACGCGUAUAGCACUUGCAUAACAAGGUCCUAACUGUGAACGGGAUUCCUAGGUGGAGUUGCAAUAAACUGAAUAGUAUCAUUCAUGGGAUCAUACCCCAUUCAUAUGUUGGCUGAGUAAAGAGGAGUACAUCGGCAGGAAUAUAGCGACUGCGACUUCAAACACGAGACUCUUGGGGGAAAAGUCGCUGCCGGCGCGUGCGCCGGUGGGCAGCGCAAUUGGUAAAGCUACAAAAAACGCUCAAGAAAAUAUUUUUUGGAGCAAAAAGCAGCAGAAACAAAGCCACGAGAGCUGCUGCUGGGCAGGUCUGGGGCAUGGAGAAAGGAAGGUGAGUAAUGUCAAAUCACGGAUGGAAAAUAAGGAGACGUGUCUGCCAAGGGGUGGGUUAGGGAUCGAUCCCUAUUUAUUCAGAAACAAGACUCACAGGUAGGGUUUGGGGUUUGUUUUUUUUUAAAUCUGGAGGCAGCGGGGACUGAUUUUUGUCACUGAAUGCUGUGGGACACACCGCUGAGAAGGCCACACGGGGUGCAACGGGGAGUGUAAAAUGUGGUCAGAGGAGAAGUGAAUGUCCUGGCCGUGAGCUGCAGCAGCUCGGGGUAUGUUCCGAGCCUCAAGAGAAGAGACAAGUAAUGCAUCAAUAUUUUCCUUAAGGCUGCUUAUUUCGUUUGAAAGCAAAUAACGGGUCAAUAUUUCUGCUUAUUUCAUUCGACGAAUAAGUUCUUAAACAGCUACUGAAUGGCUGAAGUGCGGAGAGGUAUGUGGGGUGAUAAAACGUGAUCCAGUGUUUCGCUGUACCAGCACCCCCAUGAUUAGCUAAAACAAGACAUUUAAUUCAUACCAAGAAAAUACGAGUCCUCGGGAGCGGGCGGCGUGGCUAACGUGGCCAUCGCUUGGGCUGCGUCCCUGCCCAGGCUGAAAUGCCCCCUGGCAAACGCCGCUCCUAUUUUUAUUCGCUGCUCUAUGAAAAGCCCCAUUUCACCGUACCUGAAUUUACGGGCAGAGACCUGGGAGCACAUUAAUCGCGCUGGGAGCACGUUAAUCGCGCGGCUGUCAUCAUUUUUGAGGAAGCGGGCCCAGGGCGCUUGCGAUGUUGCCCUAAAGCCCCCCAGUAAGGAGGGCGUAGCGUGGCCUUUUGCCUGGUAUUUGCCCAGGGAUAAAUGAUACGGUGAAUUUUCGUUUAUUCAACUCCAGGGUUACAGUCCCUCCUGCUUACAUUGUUUCACAGGGAGACGUUUACCCUUCUGAAAAGCUAAAAUGUUUUCUCCACUUGCAACAUAAAAGCCCAGGAGUGAGUAUUGUCACUGGAGAUAAUGUUACAGCCUGAGCAAGAUGACACUUAAAAACUUCGUCAGCCUCCAAGAAUUUCGGAAAUAGCGAUGAAGGAAGGUAGCAAGUGUUAAGAGCAGGCAGUACUUGCAAGAAGUGCCCUUAUGAGCGGCGUUUUCAAGAGCUUUUUUCUGUUUCCAGUUAUCAUUAGAGUCGCACAGCUCAGACCAUUUUUAAAUAAUUAUACUUAGUAAAAAAACCCUCCUGUGCUGAAAUAAAUUCUAGCUAAGAUGGUUUUAUGCUUUGCAGCCUCGUGUGACACUCAAUCUUUCUUGUGUGGCUGUUGUAACAAGUCGAAUUCAUGUAUUUUGAUACCCCGCACGUGAUAAAGAUACUUGGAUCACUUAAGCCUGUAUAAAACUGCAGUGCUCGCAUGUCAUUUAUCUUAAAAUCCUAUUGUAGCUCUCAUGAAAUGUAAUUUCUUCAGUGAAUGGAAAUUUAUACUGACAGAGGUGUUAUAAAACAUAGAAAAUACUGGGGGAAGGGGACCCAACGGUUCCUUUAUCUCUCCAUGCAUUCGCUAACGGGGAUUUAUUUUUCAGCUCGGCGUUGGUUCGUUGCAGGUUACAGAGCUCUGAUGCAAUUAAAGGGACCCGUUUCCAGUCAUCUUAAGCAAAACUUGCAUUACUUGCAACAGGUGAGAAAUGGGUGCUGAGGCACCGAGACAGCCAACCGGUUCGCAGGCUGCAGUUUCCAUUUCAGUUCCUAAAGGUGCUUGUAGGAAAUCGCUCAGCCUAAAGAAACCCCUGGGAUCCCAGCCUCUACCUUCCCAUUUCAAAAUGCACGGGAAGGCUCCGGAGGACAGUCGGCGCUGGAUGGUGGCUGUACCGUUAGCAUGUUACCCCUCCCCAAAAAGGAGAAUCCAGGCUCUAAUCCGUACCCCCAAACCAUGCCAGCUCGCUGGGAACCAAAGCAUGCCCACACUCGAGUUGGAGACUUCUGUGCUCGGGCAAGGAGGAUUAUGGACAUCAUAUGACUAAUUCUGCAAUGACAGGAUAUGCUUAAUUGGAGCGCGUGUUGCAGUGAGCUGCAGUCAGUGCAUCUUAAAUUCAGUGGUAGGAAGAUGUUUCUACCAGCUGAUGACACUUAACCAUUCAAACAGAUUACCAAGUGCCAUGGCAGCAAAAUCCCUUCUGUUUGAAAUGUUUAAGACUGUUUGGAUGCCUCUCUGGAAAAUGUGCUCCUAAAUUGGUGGUAGCAACUCCGGAAUGGCUUCCUGGUGACAAUCCUGAUGACUGUGACAGCCUCCAGUAAUGGGAAUUCGUUAAUCUCUUGCUCUGUGCCUGUAACGCUCUCUGUCCUUCUUCCAUUAAAAGCCAAAAGUAAAUAAAUGCAGGUCCCAUCAUCAGAUCAUUUUGCUUGCAUAGAGAUUAUCUAUGUGACAUGGACAAGCAGAAGGGCAAAAGAAAACCUCCCCAUCCUCAGUGUGAGGCUAGUUUGGGUGCAGCACCGUGAAUUCGGGGCUUGGGAGUCGCCAAGUCACCCUGAGCAUUCCGCUUCGCUUUGUGCAACAGCCGACGUUGCUGGCGCCGGCUGGGGGCGGCAGGCGGAGGGCAAGGUGUUAAACCUCCUCGUGCCGGGAGUGUGUUUGGUCCAGGUUAGGGCAGCCUUAAGUGCUGCGCUGUUCUGGGUGGCUGCCAGCAGAUCCCACGGAGUUUUGCAACACCUGAAAAAGAGCCUAAGCACAGGAAUACAACAACCCUUGAAUUUGCAGAGUGAGAACAGCGUGUUCAGUCACUGCCCUUAGACUGUUCCCUAACCCUAUCCAUUUAAGUUACCGUACUCUGUGAGGGAAGAUGGUAGGUUUUUACGCACGUUGCCUUCAGCUGCUGAAAACGCAGUGCAGGUGCCUUAAAGUGCAUAUGGUGGCUACAGCAGCCUAGAGUCCAGGCCUGUCAUCUUUCCACCUUCCUCAUCUUCCUCCCUCCCCAGGUGUUUGGUUGGCAAAAUGUCUUUCAAGUUCCAAAUUUUAUUUAAAAAGCUAGACUUGGGUUUUUUAGACUGGUUGCAAUUAAGCUUUAACAACAGGAAAGUUCAUGCGGAGGUGCCGUCUCUCUUUGAAGAGGCUCUGCCUAAGAAAAGCAUCUGUAUCCCUCCUGCAGCCAUCUGGACCAUGCUGGAGGGUUUAUUUCACUACUCUCACCUGUGGCUUUGUGUCUCUGGAUGCACUGAAGGCAUGUAUGGAGGGACCAAUUGAAUAUGUCCUGGAGUGUUUGGUGUAUUUUUAGAGUUUGUCCCAGAUUAUUGGCCUUUGUCCCAGAUUUCAGUGGUUAGGGUAUAAGAAUGCCUGGUGGGAUUGUGGUGCUUCCUGCAUUGCUCUCAGGAAGGCUUUAAUCAGGAAAAAUAUCCUCUCAAAGAAGGCAAAUAAUUAAGUUUUUGUGGCAAAUACUGUACUGCCAUUAGCCAGAGGUGAUAAACACUGGAGACCACAGUAUAAAUAGAGCAAGGCAGAUGCACUAAGCUUUAAAGUGCAAGAUUAUUGCGUUGUGUGGUAUUGAGUAAUGAAUUGGGCACCACUAGCAAGGUGGUUUUGCUUUUGUCUUUAUUGGGACCAGAGGUUGUUUUUACACCAUAAAGUGUUGGUCUCUGCUGCUCGUCGUGGGGGAAUGCUGGUACAAAUUGCCUGGAGGAAACUUGUUUCCAUGUGCUGGCAGCUGGCAAUGUACAAGUGGGGAGCUAAUGUUGGAAGGGAUCUUCAGGUGUCAUCCAGUCCAUCCUCCUCCCUUUGGCAGUGUUUAUUCGACCUGUGUCAUUCCUUGGAAAGGCUCAUCUGACCUCUUCCUGCAGAGCUGGGCAUUGCACGGUGCUCCAGGCUCCCAGGGCUUCACAAGCUUUGCCUGCAGAACAUUUUCCUUCCUGCAAAACCUGCCCUUCCCUGCUUCAGUUUGGUCCUUGCUGAGCUCAUGGGGGACGGAUUGCUCCUUUUCUCUGGGCUCCAGCCUUUACACAUUGGAAGAUUGUCUCUCUUCAGUCUACCAAAGCCAAAACAGGCCAAUCAUUUGUUCCUUCCUCAUAUUUCUGGCUGUGCAGCAUGACCCUCGCUCCAUCCCUUGGGCUGCUUAACCAUAUCUCAGGGCUGAAUUCCCUUAGAAUCACAGAAUCAUAGAACGGUUUGGGUUGGAAGGGACCUUUAGAGGCCAUCUAGUCCAACCCCCCUGCAGUGAGCAGGGACAUCCCCAACUAGACCAGGUUGCUCAGAGCCCCGUCCAGCCUGGCCUUGAACGUUUCCAGGGAUGGGGCAUCGACCACCUCUCUGGGCAACCUGGGCCAGGGUUUCACCACCCUCAUUGUAAAAAAUUUCUUCCUUUAUCUAGUCUGAAUCUACCCUCUUUUACUUUAAAACCAUUACCCCUUGUCCUGUCACUAUAGGCCCUUGGGUCGCACGACAUUCACCGUACACAUUUGAUGUAGUCCUAGACUCCCCAUGCCACCAUCUCUGGCAUGCGCUCCUCCGCUCUGGGGGACUUCUCUCGGUUCAGCCCUCCUAGUUACACUGCGGGUCUUUGGGAUGCUGAAGGGGCUCACUUACAGGCUCAUCCAACCAAUUUCAGGGUUUCAUGGACUUCCACCUUGGUCUUACCUCUUUACCCUCCUAUCAGUUGCUUGCUGCCCAGCUGCCCUAAUGCCCUUUCUCAAACUCUUUCCUUAGCUUCAUAGCAUAGGACAUACCACAUGGCAUAAAACAUACAAAGCAUGAAAACCAUUCUGUUAAGAAUCCAAUCACUGGUCCAUCAAUUUUGCAGAGAGGCAGGAGUGACACAUUGCCAAUACAGAUGCAGGUGAGGUCCUGCUGCACUUGGCCGUGUCUGUGAGAAGAACCUGCUUUCCUUCCCAGCACUCCCUGGCAUUCAAAUCUUGGACAUUUUGGCAUGUUAUGAGUGAUAAAAGUAUUCACAAGUGAGAGCAGCCAGCCCUGCAGGCUGUGAUGCCAGGGUAUUGUGGGUUCCUGGCAUGGGCAGUGCCUUUCGAUGGAUUUCAGAAGAAAGAGGCAGAAAUAUUUUUUACAGCCAGCCUCAAGUUUUUGUCUAUUUGUAGGUGUCUUUGUGUCCCCUAAAUUGGCAAUAGGUCCUUUGGAAAGAAGGCUGCACUUCAUGUCUUGACUGUCCUGGCUCCGUAUCCACUCAGAUUCUCUUGCUCCCAAAGGCCACAGAUCUUGUCCUUUAUUUUUGCCACCAAAUGCCACUCAUUUGUGUUGAGAAGCAGGAACUGGCGGCAGGGAAGUUAUCAAUCAUCCAGCAAGCAACUAAUCUGUUUCCCUUUUCUUGUGGCCAUUCCACGCUGUGGGAUAGUGCACAAACCUUUAAUUAUUGACCCACAAUAGUUUAAAUGGGUGCAGGUAGCUACUAGCACCAGGUUUGAAAAGAAUUCAGUAAUAAUGGAGGGAGAAGAAAGAUUUUAAAAAAAAAAAAAAAAAGGAUAGCAUGGGACAAGGAUGCAAAGGGUGAAGGGCAUAUGGCAGAGGUGCCAGUUGGGGGUAUUCCAGUGGCCUGGGUUCCAGCUCAAGCUUCUGCAGGAUCUCUGAUAGGCUUUGCUUUACUCAUCUCUUAAGUCCUGAUCGGAAUGGGAACAACCGGCUUCAUCCCCAGAAGUAAUUAAAAUGUUGCGCUCCCUGGCAGGGGAGUUAAAAUCAAUUUCUCAAAUACAAGAUGAAGAGCAAUUGGCCAGGCUGCUGCUGUGCGGAAAAAGAUCCGGGGCUGUGAUGCUUGGGAGCACAUCAGAAGUCCCACGCUGGAUUGCUGGUGAAACCAUUGGAAUUCAGCACUUCAGCGUUUUAGAAGACCUGCCACAAUAGCAAUCCCCUGUUUGCAAUCAAGGAGAUUGCAAGAGCAGCGCCAUGCAUAUUUAGCUGGUGUGCAGCUCCUGGGGUUGUAGGGGUACAGAAACAAGCUAAGAAAUAAAUGUGCCAUAGCUGUAGAAGUUGAUUAUUCUAGAGCAUUAAAAAUCCAGCCUUUCUUUGCCAAGGAAACGCUGCACAUGAGCCGAGCUUUUCCGUGUCAAACAUUGUAAAGAAAUCUCAGUUAUGUUUGGAGUUAGAGAGACACAAAGGAAAUCUCAUUAGGACCUACAAGCAAUGACCUGUUAUAAACAGAAUGGGAAUAAUUUGUGAGCUCUCAGAAAAACAGAGUGCAUCUCUUCUGCCCCUGUCCUCACUGUCUGCUGCUACUCUAGGACACAGGUUUCCUGAGAGAAGGAUCUGUGCCUUCUUGCUCAGCUAGCCCUUAUACAUCACGUUUUAUUUGCUAGGAGACUUGAACAAUGAGCAGCAAACACUCUUGUUCCUAUUUUAAAUGUGCGGAAACUGCAGUACAGAGAAAUAAAAUUACUUGCACCGGGCCACAGAGCAAUUUUGUGGCAGGGCUAGGACCAGAACCCAGCUCCCUUGCUCCCAAACCCAUGUGCCAGCCUUCAGCUCUUCAUUGACCCUUAAUUUUAAUCGCCUUCCAAGGAAGUCUGUUGGCCUCUUCCAGUUUACUUCCACGGGAGUAGUGCAGGUGUCAAAUGAAGUCACUGGGAAUAUCAAUGCAAAAGAAGCCAGUAUUAGAUGCAGAGAAAGAACUGAUGGAAGGGGAAAAAAUAGAUUUUAUAUAAAAAGGAAUAAGUUCUAGUGCCACUUCCAUAAUAUCAUUCCCCCUUUAAUUUGUGCCUGGUCAAAAUUAAAAAAAAAUAGAUUGCUAAUAUUAAUAAAUGAAAUGAAUCUUGAAUUUUAUAAUAGUGGAGGAAAUGAAAGGACCAAAGUAAUAUUGUGUUGUUAACUGAGAUUUUAAUAAUGAUUCUGUCCUCAGUUGGUGCAUUUAUUCCACAGAAAGUAAAUCAUUAAUGAAGAGGGGGGAAAACAGUUUUAUGGUGAUAGAUUUUUUGAAAGAGAAGUUUAAUUUUGCUUAACUUCUGGAAACUCUGAAAUGUGCUUGCAGCUCCAAAACUAAAAGACAAACACCUCAAAAGCAGUCCACAAGGCUGGGGUAUAGCUCAGUGGCUAACGCUGCCGGGGGCAGGAUGGAGCCGUGUCUGUAGCUCCUCUCUGAGAGAGCUGAGGUGAGGGGAAGAGAUAGCUUACAGAUGCUGGUUUUGUUGGGGGAAGGAAGGUAGGUUAGAGAUGGUUUUGAUGGAGGAAGGAAGGUUUGAAGGUUUCCCGUUGGUUCGAUGCAUUCUCAUAGUUAUUUCUGAAUGGCACCUGGAGAGCAGUAAAGAGAUCAUUCUUACCUUAAACCAAGGGAGGCCAAACUAGGCUCUUCCUAUGGCUUCCGCAGGCUUUUGCAAGAUCUGCUUCUACCAUGUCCUCUGGAUGGAUGGACUCAAACCACUCUCAGUGCUGGGGGGGUGUUUGACUUCUCAGGUGAAGAAAGAGCCCGCCGAGGCUAGUGUGUGCAGCUCUUGACCUACCCACUGGUAUCUUCAGCCACCUCCAAGGAGUCCCAAGAAAAGGGCUCCCUGGAGUAGCAGCCCAUUUCACACCAAGUCCCCUGGUUCAAAAUGUCGAGCACAGGGAGGAUCACGGUCUCGCAGCGCUGGAGAAGAAAAGCAUCUCUGUAGGUGAGAUCUGGCGCCUAAGAGAAAGCAAAUAUGGAAUAUAUGUGCCUGCGUGUGCAUGAAAGAGGGAAGAGACAGAAUUCCCCUGAUUCCUUAAUGAGCGCAGCACCCCUACAAUGAAUGUAGAAAUUUUCAAAUUAAAUUACUUUUUUGUAUUUAAAUUAUCAAAUCAAUAAAAAGAAGUAAACAUUAAACAACUUUA